CACUCCUACGGGAGGCAGCAGUGGGGAAUAUUGCACAAUGGGCGCAAGCCUGAUGCAGCCAUGCCGCGUGUAUGAAGAAGGCCUUCGGGUUGUAAAGUACUUUCAGCGGGGAGGAAGGCGAUAAGGUUAAUAACCUUGUCGAUUGACGUUACCCGCAGAAGAAGCACCGGCUAACUCCGUGCCAGCAGCCGCGGUAAUACGGAGGGUGCAAGCGUUAAUCGGAAUUACUGGGCGUAAAGCGCACGCAGGCGGUCUGUCAAGUCGGAUGUGAAAUCCCCGGGCUCAACCUGGGAACUGCAUUCGAAACUGGCAGGCUAGAGUCUUGUAGAGGGGGGUAGAAUUCCAGGUGUAGCGGUGAAAUGCGUAGAGAUCUGGAGGAAUACCGGUGGCGAAGGCGGCCCCCUGGACAAAGACUGACGCUCAGGUGCGAAAGCGUGGGGAGCAAACAGGAUUAGAUACCCUAGUAGUCCC
rnacentral:rRNA from 1 species